rnacentral:rRNA from 1 species
AUGGCCGCCGCCGCGCUGGGUGACGUUGAUGACCUCGACUUUGACCUGGGUUUUAUGGACGGGCUCGAGUGCCUCGACUUCGAGUUCGACCUGCCAGACAUGGGCCUCACCGAGUUGUGCCACGGCGGCGACGGCGAGUGCUUGCUGCCCUCCGUGGCCGAUAAGGAGGGCGGUUUGGUUUUGGAUCUGGGUUCUCAUGAUGGUGAUGGUGCCCAAGGGGGGAGGGAGAGCUCGCCGGACUCCGUGUUGACGGACGACGGCGCGCCGCCGUCGGAGUCGGCCGGGUAUCGCGAGGUCGGCGAGAUGUCGACAUACGCAACCGAGCUGGAGAGGUUCCUCAUGGAGGACGAGGAUAACGGGGACGCCGGCGGGCCGCUCCAUCCGAAGGAGCUUGCCGCCGACGACUACUUCUUGGGUGAUCUCGACGACCGUUACAUCGAGCCGGCGACUCCAGGGAAGGAUCUCGUCCUCGACGACGACUACUUCGGCGAUCUCGUCUCGUACGACUACUUCUACGAUCUUGCUGUUGCGGGCGACGGCUGCGUCGAGCCCGCGGCCGGUGCCAGCGUGGACGCUGCUGCAUCACCGGCGACGGAGGAGGAGGAUGCUGGCGAGGACGACGACGAAGCGACCUCGAGGAAGCGUGCAAGGCAGAGGAAGGGCGCCGCUGCGGUGCCACGCGAAGCAGAGCUCCGGGAAACGCCGGUGAUGCAUGCCAUCUCGUCGAUCUCGACUGGAAACGGGUGCCGCCCCCUUGGUUACCAUUGGCUGCAUCCCUGCACCACAGUGUGCCUGCUGGCCUGA